UCCUGGUAUUCCUAAUGUUUCUUUCCUCUGGACUUUUCCAAGGCUGCUGCUUCUGGCUCUUCUGAUGAAAUAGCUCCUCAGUUGACAAGCUCUCUCUAAUCACCCUUUUUAAAGUCACUUCCCUGUGAUUAUCCUCAUCAGCAUCCUGAAUAUUUCCAUUCUCCUCUCUGAUGGUCCAUAAAUAUUCUCAUGGAGGAUGUGUGACCUUUAUCACAGGCUUUCUUCAAAUUAAAGACAGGUAAAAGAGGAAGAGACUCAGGUCCCCUGGUUCUAGAAGAGCGUCUUCUGUCCUGAUGACAGCUUCUGCAGUGACAGUGAUGCAUCUUCUCUCCACUCUCUGGCUGACAUGAGCACCCCAACUUUCUGGAUCACAUGGUAAUCUGCCUCUCUCCCCAAAUUGUCACUGUGGCAGUACUGGCCUGGGACUGUCAGUGGCAUAUUGCAGUCUGCUGG